rnacentral:rRNA from 1 species
CAUACACCGGAAACAUCCAGAGAUGGGUGCCCCCUUGUGGUCGGUGUACAGGUGGUGCAUGGCUGUCGUCGGCUCGUGUCGUGAGAUGUUGGGUUAAGUCCCGCAACGAGCGCAACCCUUGUUCUGUGUUGCCAGCAUGCCUUUCGGGGUGAUGGGGACUCACAGGAGACUGCCGGGGUCAACUCGGAAACUCGGAGGAAGGUGGGGACGACGUCAAGUCAUCAUGCCCCUUAUGUCUUGGGC